rnacentral:rRNA from 1 species
AGCAGCCGCGGUAAUUCCAGCUCCAAUAGCGUAUAUUAAAGUUGUUGCAGUUAAAAAGCUCGUAGUUGAAUUUCGGGAUCAAUAUGUUGGUCGUGCCUCGGUACGUACUAGCAUAUUGGUUUCUCCUUUCUGAAGAACCAUGAUGUCAUUUAUUUGGUGUCGUGGGGAAUCAGGACUGUUACUUUGAAAAAAUUAGAGUGUUUAAAGCAGGCUCACGCUUGAAUACAUUAGCAUGGAAUAAUGAAAUAGGACGUUUGAUUCUAUUUUGUUGGUUUCUAGGAUCGACGUAAUGAUUAAUAGGGAUAGUUGGGGGCAUUAGUAUUCAAUUGUCAGAGGUGAAAUUCUUGGAUUUAUUGAAGACUAACUACUGCGAAAGCAUUUGCCAAGGAUGUUUUCAUUAAUCAAGAACGAAAGCUAGGGGAUCGAAGACGAUCAGAUACCGUCGUAGCC